rnacentral:lncRNA from 1 species
UUCCUCAGCAGCUGGUGGAGCUGGGCCUGAGCAGGACUUCCCCAAAGGACUGAGAAGGAAGCCUCCACUCUGUCGUCGCUCUCUGGCUGGAGUGCACUGGUGUGAUCUCGGCUCACUGCAACCUCCACCUCCUGAGUUCAAGCGAUUCUUCUGCCUCAGUUUCCUGAGUAGCUGGAGCUAUAGGCGCAUGUCACCAUGCCCGGAUAAUUUUUGUAUUUUUGUAGUAGAGAUGGGGUUUUGCCAUAUUGGCCAAGCUGGUCUCAAACUGCUGACCUUGUGAUCCACCCACCUUGGCCUCCCAAAGUGCUGGGAUUACAGGCCUGAGCCACCGCACCCGGCCUUGUAUUUCUUUUUCUAUAAAUUACCUCUGUACCCUUUAUCCAUUUUAAAAAUUGGGCUGUCACUUAAAAAAAACUUAUUUGAUGGCAUUGUUUGUACCUUAG